GAACGUGCUCUCCAGAGCCAUUCUCAUUGCUGGUUUAGUCGGGCGGCGGAGAGCGAGACAGAAAGUUUCUGGAACACUUAGGGGACAGCGUCUGGGGAGAGAGGCCAUCUGAGAUGUCUUCUUGGCUCUGCUUCAGGCUCCAUAAUAGCAAUGGAUCCACACUUCUUAAUAUACCAAGGUAUGUGCACCACAUGUAUGUACAAUGCGUGGCCAGAAGAGGAUUCUGGAUUCCCUGGAACUGGAUUCAGGAACAGUUGUGAGCUGCCACAUAUGUUCUGGGGACCAAGUCUAGGUCCUCUAAAAGAUCAAGUGUUCUUAAUCCUGACCUGCCUCUACAGCCACUGAGAUUUGUUAGACUCAUAAGUCAAUAUCUCUUAAAAAUUGUUUUAAUUCCUGU